AUUGAACGCUGGCGGCAGGCUUAACACAUGCAAGUCGAGCGGAGCGAGGGUGCUUGCACCUUAGCUUAGCGGCGGACGGGUGAGUAAUGCUUAGGAAUCUGCCUAUUAGUGGGGGACAACAUUCCGAAAGGAAUGCUAAUACCGCAUACGCCCUACGGGGGAACGCAGGGGAUCUUCGGACCUUGCGUUAAUAGAUGAGCCUAAGUCGGAUUAUCUAGUUGGUGGGGUAAAGGCCUACAAAGGCGACGAUCUGUAGCGGGUCUGCGAGGAUGACCCGCCACACUGGGACUGAGACACGGCCCAGACUCCUACGGGAGGCAGCAGUGGGGAAUAUUGGACAAUGGGCGGAAGCCUGAUCCAGCCAUGCCGCGUGUGUGAAGAAGGCCUUUUGGUUGUAAAGCACUUUAAGCGAGGAGGAGGCUCUUAAGGUUAAUACCCUUGAUGAGUGGACGUUACUCGCGGAAUAAGCACCGGCUAACUCUGUGCCAGCCGCCGCCGUAAAAC
rnacentral:rRNA from 1 species